rnacentral:rRNA from 1 species
GACGAACGCUGGCGGCGUGCUUAACACAUGCAAGUCGAACGGAAAGACCCUGCUUUUGUGGGGUGCUCGAGUGGCGAACGGGUGAGUAACACGUGAGUAACCUGCCCUUGACUUUGGGAUAACUUCAGGAAACUGGGGCUAAUACCGGAUAGGAGCUCCUGCUGCAUGGUGGGGGUUGGAAAGUUUCGGCGGUUGGGGAUGGACUCGCGGCUUAUCAGCUUGUUGGUGGGGUAGUGGCUUACCAAGGCUUUGACGGGUAGCCGGCCUGAGAGGGUGACCGGCCACAUUGGGACUGAGAUACGGCCCAGACUCCUACGGGAGGCAGCAGUGGGGAAUAUUGCACAAUGGGCGGAAGCCUGAUGCAGCAACGCCGCGUGCGGGAUGACAGCCUUCGGGUUGUAAACCGCUUUCGCCUGUGACGAAGCGUGAGUGACGGUAAUGUGUAAAGAAGCACCGGCUAACUACGUG